rnacentral:rRNA from 1 species
AUUGAACGCUGGCGGCAGGCCUAACACAUGCAAGUCGAGCGGAUGACGGGAGCUUGCUCCUUGAUUUAGCGGCGGACGGGUGAGUAAUGCCUAGGAAUCUGCCUGGUAGUGGGGGACAACGUUUCGAAAGGAACGCUAAUACCGCAUACGUCCUACGGGAGAAAGCAGGGGACCUUCGGGCCUUGCGCUAUCAGAUGAGCCUAGGUCGGAUUAGCUAGUUGGUGAGGUAAUGGCUCACCAAGGCGACGAUCCGUAACUGGUCUGAGAGGAUGAUCAGUCACACUGGAACUGAGACACGGUCCAGACUCCUACGGGAGGCAGCAGUGGGGAAUAUUGGACAAUGGGCGAAAGCCUGAUCCAGCCAUGCCGCGUGUGCGAAGAAGGUCUUCGGAUUGUAAAGCACUUUAAGUUGGGAGGAAGGGCAGUAAGUUAAUACCUUGCUGUUUUGACGUUACCGACAGAAUAAGCACCGGCUAACUCUGUGCCAGCAGCCGCGGUAACAC